UACAGAGGCCUCGAGCGUUAAUCGGAAUCACUGGGCUUAAAGGGCGCGUAGGCGGCGCUGCAAGUGCCUUGUGAAAUCCCAUCGCUUAACGAUGGAACUGCUCGGUAGACUGCAGUGCUUGAGGUUGGUAGGGGCUGCCGGAACUCUAGGUGGAGCGGUGAAAUGCGUAGAUAUCUAGAGGAACGCCCAAGGCGAAGGCAGGCAGCUGGGCCAAUUCUGACGCUGAGGCACGAAAGCGUGGGGAGCAAACGGG
rnacentral:rRNA from 1 species